AUCCAGCUGACGCGUCCCAAAUAGGACGAAACGCGUGUACUGGAU
rfam:Schistosoma curassoni strain Dakar, Senegal genome assembly, scaffold: SCTD_scaffold0000615